rnacentral:rRNA from 1 species
UACGGAGGGUGCAAGCGUUAUCCGGAUUUACUGGGUUUAAAGGGUGUGUAGGCGGGCUUUUAAGUCAGUGGUGAAAUCUCCGGGCUCAACCCGGAAACUGCCAUUGAUACUAUUAGUCUUGAAUUUUUGUUGAGGUAGGCGGAAUAAGUCAUGUAGCGGUGAAAUGCUUAGAUAUGACUUAGAACACCAAUUGCGAAGGCAGCUUGCUAAACAAACAUUGACGCUGAGGCACGAAAGCGUGGGGAUCAAACAGG